rnacentral:lncRNA from 1 species
NNNCCCCCAGCGGUCUCAGUUCUCCCAGCUGCUCCCAGUCCCCACUGGGACAUGGCCCCUGGACACACAGAUAUACGUGCACUCACGUGUGUGAGCACAGCCAUACACACACACACACACACACACACACACACACAGAGCCAUGCACACACACACACACACACGCCUGUGCGGACAACCAUGGCUGCGCAUACAUAUGUGCAGGCACAAACGUGUACAGACAGGCACAGCUACACACGCAAACACACACACGUGCACACCAACAGGCACGCACAAACACAUAUGCGCACACCUGGACAGGCACAAGCAUGCGUGCACCCCCAUACCCAUGCACACACACGUGCAAGCAUUCACACACAGAUGUGUGCACACACAGACAUGCAUGCACACACCUGGUUACACACACAUGCAUGGACACACGUGUGCGCACACACACACACCCCCACACACACAGCCACAGGUGCAGGAAAGGCUGCAGGUCCCCACCCAGCACCCAACGCGACAGGGUGCUGAGGUGAGUCCCAGGCCCACCGUGCUGCACGUGUGUGCGUGUGCGGGGGGGGGGGUCCUUGCAAGUGCGCAUGUCUGCAUUUGCACACGUGUUCACAUUUGCAUGCAUGUUCUCAUGCCGCGUGUGCAUCUGCCCGUGGGUGUUUCCACCCGUGCACUUUUGCAGGUGUUUGUGCAGGCACGUGUGCAYGCUGUACACCUGCUUGCAUGCAUGUGCGUGCAUAUGUGUGCAUGCCUGCCCACGCGCGUGCAUAUUUGCAUUUGGAUGCGUGUUUGCACGAGUGCACGUGCUGGUGUGUUUGCACAUGUGUGUCUUUGCACACGUAUAUUCCCAUGUCUGUGUUUGCCUGCACGGGUGCACACGCAUGUGUAUUCACAUGUGUGUGUGCACAGCAGGCCACACUGGCGCGUGUCCCGCUGCCCUGCAGUGCCCACGGCUAAUUGGGAUCAUCUCAUUAGCGGGGAUUAAUGGCUAACUAUAGGCAGCUGGGGGGGGGCAGGUGACACAGGGGGGACAAGGCCACCACAGGGACACGGGGACGUUCCCCACCACCACCCUGGGAGCCCCCCAAAUCCCCUAAAUCCCCUGGCUUAAUC